rnacentral:rRNA from 1 species
AGUCGAGCGAACGGACAAGAAGUCUUCGGACAUUUUGAAAGUGAGCGGCGAGGGUGAGUAACACGUAGGUAACCUGCCCUUGAGAUUGGGAUAACAGUUGGAAACGACUGCUAAUACCGAAUGGGAACGAGUGAGGCAUCUCACAAGUUUAAAAGGAGCUUUCGGGCUUCGCUUAAGGAUGGACCUGCGGCGCAUUAGCUAGUUGGUGGGGUAAUGGCCUACCAAGGCGACGAUGCGUAGCCGACCUGAGAGGGUGAUCGGCCACACUGGGACUGAGACACGGCCCAGACUCCUACGGGAGGCAGCAGUAGGGAAUUUUCCACAAUGGACGAAAGUCUGAUGGAGCAACGCCGCGUGUGCGAAGAAGGCCUUCGGGUUGUAAAGCACUGUUGUAAGGGAAGAACAGAUGUGAGAGGAAAUGCUCAUAUUGUGACGGUACCUUACCAGAAAGCCACGGCUAACUACGUGCCAGCAGCCGCGGUAAUACGUAGGUGGCGAGCGUUAUCCGGAAUUAUUGGGCGUAAAGGGCGUGUAGGCGGGUUUUAAGUCUGAUGUGAAAGCCCACGGCUCA